UACCGGCAGCUCAAGUGAUGACCGAUUUUAUUGGGCCUAAAGCGUCCGUAGCUGGCCGCGCAAGUCUGUCGGGAAAUCCACCCGCUUAACGGGUGGGCGUCCGGCGGAAACUGUGCGGCUUGGGACAGGAAGGCUCGAGGGGUACGUUCGGGGUAGGAGUGAAAUCCCGUAAUCCUGAACGGACCACCGAUGGCGAAAGCACCUCGAGAGGACUGAUCCGGCAGUGAGGGACGAAAGCUGGGGUCUCGAACCGG
rnacentral:rRNA from 1 species